UCCCUGGUGGUCCAGUGGUUAAGACUCUGCACUUCCACCGCAGGGGACACGGGCUUGAUCCCUGGUCAGGGAA
rnacentral:tRNA from 1 species